rnacentral:misc_RNA from 1 species
GAAAUGCGAUAAGUAGUGUGAAUUGCAGAAUUCAGUGAAUCAUCGAAUCUUUGAACGCACAUUGCGCCCCUUGGUAUUCCAUGGGGCAUGCCUGUUCGAGCGUCAUUUGUACCUUCAAGCUUUGCUUGGUGUUGGGUGUUUGUCUCGCCUCUGCGUGUAGACUCGCCUCAAAACAAUUGGCAGCCGGCGUAUUGAUUUCGGAGCGCAGUACAUCUCGUGCUUUGCACUCAUAACGACGACGUCCAAAAGUACAUUUUUACACUCUUGACCUCGGAUCAGGUAGGGAUACCCGCUGAACUUAAGC